rnacentral:tRNA from 1 species
GAUUCCGUAGCUCAGCUGGGAGAGCGCUACCUUGACAGGGUAGAGGUCGCUGGUUCGAGCCCAGUCGGAAUCAU